UACGAGGGGGGCAAGCGUUGUUCGGGAUUAUUGGGCGUAAAGGGUGCGUAGGCGGUUUGGUAAGUCUUAUGUGAAAUCUACAGGCUCAACUUGUAGUCUGCAUGAGAAACUGCCGGGCUUGAGUAUGGGAGAGGUGAGUGGAAUUCCUGGUGUAGCGGUGAAAUGCGUAGAUAUCAGGAGGAACACCUGUGGCGAAAGCGGCUCACUGGACCAUAACUGACGCUGAUGCACGAAAGCUAGGGGAGCAAACAGG
rnacentral:rRNA from 1 species